AGUGUGUGUUAAGCAGUCGAGGUGGGAGUUACUGCUCGCUGGACAAACUAGAGAGUGGUAACCUUGCGUCACCAUCACGACAAUGAGUGACACUAUCAAUUUCACCAUCAACGGGGAAGCCCAUGAAGUGGGUGCAGGUGGGGAGGUGACGGCCACAACUACCCUGCAGAAGUACCUCCAUGGCCAGCCAUGACGGGGUCGC